GAUGAACGCUGGCGGCGUGCCUAACACAUGCAAGUCGAACGGACAAGGGGGAGCUUGCUCCCCUGCGUUAGUGGCGGACGGGUGAGUAACGCGUGAGCAACCUGCCUUUCAGAGGGGGAUAACAUCGGGAAACCGGUGCUAAUACCGCAUGAUGUGCGAAGGUCGCAUGAUCUUUGUACCAAAGGAGCAAUCCGCUGAAAGAUGGGCUCGCGUCUGAUUAGAUAGUUGGUGAGGUAACGGCCCACCAAGUCGACGAUCGGUAGCCGGACUGAGAGGUCGAACGGCCACAUUGGAACUGAGAAACGGUCCAGACUCCUACGGGAGGCAGCAGUGGGGAAUAUUGGGCAAUGGGCGAAAGCCUGACCCAGCGACGCCGCGUGAGGGAAGAAGGUCUUCGGAUUGUAAACCUUAGUCAACAGGGAAGAAGCAAGUGACGGUGCCUGUGGAGGAAGCCACGGCUAACUACGUG
rnacentral:rRNA from 1 species